CUUGUACACACCSCCGUCACACCACGAGAGUUUGUAACACCCGAAGCCGGUGGAGUAACCUUUUAGGAGCUAGCCGUCGAAGGUGGGACAAAUGAUUGGGGUGAAGUCGUAACAAGGUAGCCGUAUCGGAAGGUGCGGCUGGAUCACCUCCUUUCUAAGGAUAUAUUCGGAAC
rnacentral:rRNA from 1 species